UUCUUUAUAAACACAAGUACAUAAUGUUUAUUUCAAAUUCCAAUUUAUUACAAGUUUACCCUUUAAUGGGGCCCUUCCUCCUUUAAAGACAAUUAAAAAAAAAAACAAACAACAAACAAUUCAGUUGUCACUGAAGUGGGAACACAGGAUUCUCACUGUGAACAAUAGACCGGCUCUCAGGUAAAAAGGCAGGGCAAGGUGUUGGUGGCUGGACUAGGGAACUGGAGCGUCAGUGCUAACUCCGAAGCUGUGGGAGAAGGGACAGGAAACCUAUCCAGCAACCACUGGAGCAAAUCCCCACAGUCUCCGGGAAGGGCAGGCGGGGCGAGACCGGGACCACACCUCCAAGUUCUGUAGUAAGAGGCUUUAUUCUCAAGUUCUAGGAGCUGCAAUCCCCUUGGUGGACAAGUUUUCCCUUAAAUUAAGUUCAGAAGAGCUGAGCUGCUCACAUUUUCUAAAUUCAAAGCUGAUAGAAAAGAAAAUUAAACCCUGUUUUGCAUUUUUAUCAAAAUCUGCCAUAAAAGGGAAAGACGACUACCAAGUUCUGCCUAACUAGAGCUACUAGCGCCAGACUCCUAGUUGAAGGGGCCAGCCGAGCCCCUCCUCCCUCUGCCCGCCCCCUUGCACUGACAUGGACCCCUGUGAGAGGACCCCUGCGCAAGACUGAUCAGCUUAUCAAUCUCACAGAGCUCUGCAUCUGAGGCCAGAACAGGCUCAGGAGGAGGGAGGCGGCUGUUGGAGAUGGAGGAGGCAGAAAGCUGCCAGGGCAGGCAAAGGGACAUACCCUUCCCCACCAGGUCCCACUGCUUGUCCUGCUGACCCUCCAACCCUGCUUCUCUGAAGAGAGAGAAUGGGCUGAGGGAGGAGACGGGGCAAAAGAAAGCAAACACAUUAUCAUAUAAACUGUACUGUACAUGUGCCAAAGCAAGAUGACAGAAAUAUUUUACAAGAUGUUCUUUAUACAAUAUCACUGCUGAAACAAGCAACUUUUAAUAACUAGAAAAGUCAAUUUAAAAAAAAUUAAACAUUUAAAUUCUUCCUGCUUUUCUUCUGCUCCCCUAAGAGCUUGUGUCUGGUAUGUGGGUGGGCUGGGCUCCAACACCCCUCUGGCCAGAUCCAUCCAAGUAAAGGUUAUAUGCAUGAUUAUAAGCAGGACUCCAGUCUCUAAGUGAAGUGCCUUAGGUUCUUUGUGUGUGUGUGUGUGUGUGUGGGGGGGGGUGUUUUUUUAAGUUUUUUUUGUUUUGUUUUUGAAGGGGUGAGGUGGGGUGGGAGAGGGGAGAGAGCUGUCACAAAGAAGGGGAAGGGUAUUCAGGAAUGGCUCCAGGACAUGUCCCUUUACUCCGCAAAGAGCAACUCAAAAGAGCAAUGAUGCUGGUGAAUACAGAAUGCGGUAUGGCACUCACUGAUACCGUCACCUGAGGGAGGGGAGGGGAGAGACCGAGGACGGCUUCAAGAAACAAGACUGUGUGAGUAGAGAUUAUAAAAAAUUAACCCCGCCUCCCCAGUUGGCCUGAUUACCCCUGAUCCUUCCAUGUAAUACAGUAAUUCCUCCCCUGGAGACCAGGGGCUUGGCACUGUCAUGGUGGCCAAAGUGGGAGGGACCGUAGGAAAGAAGAGAAUUAAGGGACGUGGGCCCUCGAGAAAGCCGUACCCUUGGCCUCUCCCUGGAAACUCUCAGCAGGGCUAAGGCCGCCUACCGCCCAUGGUACCUCUGGGCAGAGACCAGCC
rnacentral:lncRNA from 1 species